ACUUGAAUAGCUUAUUUAGAGCGCGACAUUGAAGAUGUUGAUGAGGCGGCUUAGCCUUUAAGUA
rnacentral:tRNA from 1 species